rfam:Clostridium baratii str. Sullivan, complete genome.
AUCUUAUUAAGAGUGGUGGAGGGACUGGCCCUAUGAAACCCGGCAACCUAUAUUAAGAACUUAUAUUUAGUAUUUAAUAUGUGGUGCUAAAUCCUGCAGUUUGUUAAACUGAUAGAUAAGAG